GCAGCACAAUGGACCCGUGCAUCUGGUUGUUAACCAGAAAGCUGGUGGUUCGAGGCCACCCAGCGACG